CAGCCGCCGCGGUAAUACGUAGGUGGCAAGCGUUGUCCGGAAUUAUUGGGCGUAAAGGGCUCGCAGGCGGCUUCUUAAGUCUGAUGUGAAAGCCCCCGGCUCAACCGGGGAGGGUCAUUGGAAACUGGGAAACUUGAGUGCAGAAGAGGAGAGUGGAAUUCCACGUGUAGCGGUGAAAUGCGUAGAGAUGUGGAGGAACACCAGUGGCGAAGGCGACGCUCUGGUCUGUAACUGACGCUGAGGAGCGAAAGCGUGGGGAGCGAACAGGAUUAGAUACCCCCGUAGUCCCUGUCUCUUAUCA
rnacentral:rRNA from 1 species